rnacentral:rRNA from 1 species
UGGGGAAUUUUGGACAAUGGGGGAAACCCUGAUCCAGCCAUCCCGCGUGUGCGAUGAAGGCCUUCGGGUUGUAAAGCACUUUUGGCAGGAAAGAAACGUCGCGGGUUAAUACCCCGCGAAACUGACGGUACCUGCAGAAUAAGCACCGGCUAACUACGUGCCAGCAGCCGCGGUAAUACGUAGGGUGCAAGCGUUAAUCGGAAUUACUGGGCGUAAAGCGUGCGCAGGCGGUUCGGAAAGAAAGAUGUGAAAUCCCAGAGCUUAACUUUGGAACUGCAUUUUUAACUACCGGGCUAGAGUGUGUCAGAGGGAGGUGGAAUUCCGCGUGUAGCAGUGAAAUGCGUAGAUAUGCGGAGGAACACCGAUGGCGAAGGCAGCCUCCUGGGAUAACACUGACGCUCAUGCACGAAAGCGUGGGGAGCAAACAGGAUUAGAUACCCUGGUAGUCCACGCCCUAAACGAUGUCAACUAGCUGUUGGGGCCUUCGGGCCUUGGUAGCGCAGCUAACGCGUGAAGUUGACCGCCUGGGGAGUACGGUCGCAAGAUUAAAACUUAAAGGAAUUGACGGGGGUGCAUAGCU